rnacentral:rRNA from 1 species
GUCCAGACUCCUACGGGAGGCAGCAGUGGGGAAUAUUGCACAAUGGGGGAAACCCUGAUGCAGCGACGCCGCGUGAGCGAUGAAGUAUUUCGGUAUGUAAAGCUCUAUCAGCAGGGAAGAAGAUGACGCUACCUGACUAAGAAGCCCCGGCUAACUACGUGCCAGCAGCCGCGGUAAUACGUAGGGGGCAAGCGUUAUCCGGAUUUACUGGGUGUAAAGGGAGCGUAGACGGCGAUGCAAGCCAGAUGUGAAAGCCCGGGGCUCAACCCCGGGACUGCAUUUGGAACUGUGUGGCUGGAGUGUCGGAGAGGCAGGCGGAAUUCCUAGUGUAGCGGUGAAAUGCGUAGAUAUUAGGAGGAACACCAGUGGCGAAGGCGGCCUGCUGGACGAUGACUGACGUUGAGGCUCGAAAGCGUGGGGAGCAAACAGGAUUAGAUACCCCCGUACU